rnacentral:rRNA from 1 species
UUAAGCGACUAAGCGUACACGGUGGAUGCCCUGGCAGUCAGAGGCGAUGAAGGACGUGCUAAUCUGCGAUAAGCGUCGGUGAGGUGAUAUGAACCGUUAUAACCGGCGAUUUCCGAAUGGGGAAACCCAGUGUGUUUCGACACACUAUCAUUAACUGAAUCCAUAGGUUAAUGAGGCGAACCGGGGGAACUGAAACAUCUAAGUACCCCGAGGAAAAGAAAUCAACCGAGAUUCCCCCAGUAGCGGCGAGCGAACGGGGAGCAGCCCAGAGCCUGAAUCAGUGUGUGUGUUAGUGGAAGCGUCUGGAAAGGCGCGCGAUACAGGGUGACAGCCCCGUACACAAAAAUGCACAUAUUGUGAGCUCGAUGAGUAGGGCGGGACACGUGGUAUCCUGUCUGAAUAUGGGGGGACCAUCCUCCAAGGCUAAAUACUCCUGACUGACCGAUAGUGAACCAGUACCGUGAGGGAAAGGCGAAAAGAACCCCGGCGAGGGGAGUGAAAAAGAACCUGAAACCGUGUACGUACAAGCAGUGGGAGCCUCUUUUAUGGGGUGACUGCGUACCUUUUGUAUAAUGGGUCAGCGACUUAUAUUCUGUAGCAAGGUUAACCGAAUAGGGGAGCCGAAGGGAAACCGAGUCUUAACUGGGCGUUAAGUUGCAGGGUAUAGACCCGAAACCCGGUGAUCUAGCCAUGGGCAGGUUGAAGGUUGGGUAACACUAACUGGAGGACCGAACCGACUAAUGUUGAAAAAUUAGCGGAUGACUUGUGGCUGGGGGUGAAAGGCCAAUCAAACCGGGAGAUAGCUGGUUCUCCCCGAAAGCUAUUUAGGUAGCGCCUCGUGAAUUCAUCUUCGGGGGUAGAGCACUGUUUCGGCAAGGGGGUCAUCCCGACUUACCAACCCGAUGCAAACUGCGAAUACCGGAGAAUGUUAUCACGGGAGACACACGGCGGGUGCUAACGUCCGUCGUGAAGAGGGAAACAACCCAGACCGCCAGCUAAGGUCCCAAAGUCAUGGUUAAGUGGGAAACGAUGUGGGAAGGCCCAGACAGCCAGGAUGUUGGCUUAGAAGCAGCCAUCAUUUAAAGAAAGCGUAAUAGCUCACUGGUCGAGUCGGCCUGCGCGGAAGAUGUAACGGGGCUAAACCAUGCACCGAAGCUGCGGCAGCGACACUAUGUGUUGUUGGGUAGGGGAGCGUUCUGUAAGCCUGUGAAGGUGUACUGUGAGGUAUGCUGGAGGUAUCAGAAGUGCGAAUGCUGACAUAAGUAACGAUAAAGCGGGUGAAAAGCCCGCUCGCCGGAAGACCAAGGGUUCCUGUCCAACGUUAAUCGGGGCAGGGUGAGUCGACCCCUAAGGCGAGGCCGAAAGGCGUAGUCGAUGGGAAACAGGUUAAUAUUCCUGUACUUGGUGUUACUGCGAAGGGGGGACGGAGAAGGCUAUGUUGGCCGGGCGACGGUUGUCCCGGUUUAAGCGUGUAGGCUGGUUUUCCAGGCAAAUCCGGAAAAUCAAGGCUGAGGCGUGAUGACGAGGCACUACGGUGCUGAAGCAACAAAUGCCCUGCUUCCAGGAAAAGCCUCUAAGCAUCAGGUAACAUCAAAUCGUACCCCAAACCGACACAGGUGGUCAGGUAGAGAAUACCAAGGCGCUUGAGAGAACUCGGGUGAAGGAACUAGGCAAAAUGGUGCCGUAACUUCGGGAGAAGGCACGCUGAUAUGUAGGUGAAGUCCCUUGCGGAUGGAGCUGAAAUCAGUCGAAGAUACCAGCUGGCUGCAACUGUUUAUUAAAAACACAGCACUGUGCAAACACGAAAGUGGACGUAUACGGUGUGACGCCUGCCCGGUGCCGGAAGGUUAAUUGAUGGGGUUAGCGGUAACGCGAAGCUCUUGAUCGAAGCCCCGGUAAACGGCGGCCGUAACUAUAACGGUCCUAAGGUAGCGAAAUUCCUUGUCGGGUAAGUUCCGACCUGCACGAAUGGCGUAAUGAUGGCCAGGCUGUCUCCACCCGAGACUCAGUGAAAUUGAACUCGCUGUGAAGAUGCAGUGUACCCGCGGCAAGACGGAAAGACCCCGUGAACCUUUACUAUAGCUUGACACUGAACAUUGAGCCUUGAUGUGUAGGAUAGGUGGGAGGCUUUGAAGUGUGGACGCCAGUCUGCAUGGAGCCGGCCUUGAAAUACCACCCUUUAAUGUUUGAUGUUCUAACGUUGGCCCCUGAUCGGGGUUGCGGACAGUGUCUGGUGGGUAGUUUGACUGGGGCGGUCUCCUCCUAAAGAGUAACGGAGGAGCACGAAGGUUGGCUAAUCCUGGUCGGACAUCAGGAGGUUAGUGCAAUGGCAUAAGCCAGCUUGACUGCGAGCGUGACGGCGCGAGCAGGUGCGAAAGCAGGUCAUAGUGAUCCGGUGGUUCUGAAUGGAAGGGCCAUCGCUCAACGGAUAAAAGGUACUCCGGGGAUAACAGGCUGAUACCGCCCAAGAGUUCAUAUCGACGGCGGUGUUUGGCACCUCGAUGUCGGCUCAUCACAUCCUGGGGCUGAAGUAGGUCCCAAGGGUAUGGCUGUUCGCCAUUUAAAGUGGUACGCGAGCUGGGUUUAGAACGUCGUGAGACAGUUCGGUCCCUAUCUGCCGUGGGCGCUGGAGAACUGAGGGGGGCUGCUCCUAGUACGAGAGGACCGGAGUGGACGCAUCACUGGUGUUCGGGUUGUCAUGCCAAUGGCACUGCCCGGUAGCUAAAUGCGGAAGAGAUAAGUGCUGAAAGCAUCUAAGCACGAAACUUGCCCCGAGAUGAGUUCUCCCUGACUCUUUAAGGGUCCUGAAGGAACGUUGAAGACGACGACGUUGAUAGGCCGGGUGUGUAAGCGCAGCGAUGCGUUGAGCUAACCGGUACUAAUGAACCGUGAGGCUUAACCUU